GAGCACCGGUGAAGGGGCAACCUCGAACUGGAAACAAGCUUCUUAGCCCCCAAGUGGUCAUACCACUGACCUUUAGCUCGGAAAGCUUGUCUUUCGACGUACCCUAUUAAAACGCACGGCCUCUUGGGAUUUAAGCCUUUACAACAACUCGGGAGCGGUCAAGAGUGCAGUUACAGCUGGCAGGCCCGCAGUGCCCUGGAGAAGCACCGCGAAGGAAGACCCGGCGCCCUAACAGACUGGCCAAGGGCCACCCCUGUCCCCGGAGAUCCUUGUAGCCAUCCGAGUUGGUUAGACUGGCUAAUAACACAAGUCACAGUUCCCCAAGGUGAGUUGGCUCUUUACAGCCAGCAAGAGUGGAUGCAGCUCUGCUGACUUUUGAGCCUGGCAGAAGAUUCUAGAAUACCCGUGACUGCAGCUCACCUCUCUAUGACCCUGACAGUGGAGACAGGGGUUCAUCACCCUCCGUCUUCUCACCUGGUGAGACAACUCCCAGGCCUUUCGUUCCCUUGGGUAAGUUCCCAUUGACCUUUCAAGUUCCAUUUCAAAUACUCACGUCUAAAACGUGGGAGAAAAAUGAUGGUGGCAGUAAGACACUGUGUGUUUGAGAAAUGAAUGGGCCAAAUGAAGGAGGGGACAGAGGGAGUCAAAUGAAAGUAUUUACAUGUGCUUUUCUUUUGUUUUAAAUUUCUAGAAGGGAGACCUAGGACCUCACCCACCACAUCUAGAGGUUCCCAGGCUAGGGGUUGAAUUGGCUCUACAGUUGCCGGCCUAUACCACAGCCACAGCAACGCUUAACCCACUGAGCAAGGCCAGGGAUCGAACCGGUGUCCUCAUGAAUACUAGUCAGGUGUGUUUCCGCUGCGCCACGACAGAAACUCCCCGAAAGUAUAUUUGGUGAUGGAAGUGAUGAUUGUGUUUCACGGAUAAGAUGAAGUUGGUAGAAAAUGAAGUUGUAGGAAAAUAAUGGAAUCUAAGGGUUGGAAAGAUGUUUGAAAAAACGGAUAGAAUCGAAGUGUUGGGAAGGCAUUUGAGACCACCUGGUCCGUUUUCCCACCCAGUGUGAUUUGCUGACAGGGAUGCACAUCAUUUCUUCUUGAAUAUGCACUGGGAUGGGCAGCUCCCUCUUGAGCUCUUUUUCAAGAUCAUCUGGCUCCCUUUCCUGUCUCCUGCAU
ensembl:lncRNA